CCUACGGGGGGCAGCAGUCGAGAAUCAUUCACAAUGGGGGAAACCCUGAUGGUGCGACGCCGCGUGGGGGAAUGAAGGUCUUCGGAUUGUAAACCCCUGUCAUGUGGGAGCAAAUUAAAAAGAUAGUACCACAAGAGGAAGAGACGGCUAACUCUGUGCCAGCAGCCGCGGUAAUACAGAGGUCUCAAGCGUUGUUCGGAAUCACUGGGCGGAAAGCGUGCGUAGGCUGUUUCGUAAGUCGUGUGUGAAAGGCGCGGGCUCAACCCGCGGACGGCACAUGAUACUGCGAGACUAGAGUAAUGGAGGGGGAACCGGAAUGCUCGGUGUAGCAGUGAAAUGCGUAGAUAUCGAGAGGAACACUCGUGGCGAAGGCGGGUUCCUGGACAUUAACUGACGCUGAGGCACGAAGGCCAGGGGAGCGAAAGGGAUUAGAUACCCUGGUAGUC
rnacentral:rRNA from 1 species